UGGCAAGAACUUCGGCACGGUCU
rnacentral:miRNA from 1 species